UUGAACGCUGGCGGCAUGCUUUACACAUGCAAGUCGAACGGCAGCGGGGGCUUCGGCCUGCCGGCGAGUGGCGAACGGGUGAGUAAUAUAUCGGAACAUAUCCUGUCGUGGGGGAUAACUAAUCGAAAGAUUAGCUAAUACCGCAUACGACCUGAGGGAGAAAGCGGGGGCUCGCAAGACCUCGCGCGAUUGGAGUGGCCGAUAUCUGAUUAGCUAGAUGGUGAGGUAAAGGCUCACCAUGGCGACGAUCAGUAGCUGGUCUGAGAGGAUGAUCAGCCACACUGGGACUGAGACACGGUCCAGACUCCUACGGGAGGCAGCAGUGGGGAAUUUUGGACAAUGGGGGAAACCCUGAUCCAGCCAUUCCGCGUGAGUGAAGAAGGCCUUCGGGUUGUAAAGCUCUUUCGGCAGGAACGAAACGGUAAGGGCUAAUAUCCUUUGCUAAUGACGGUACCUGAAGAAGAAGCACCGGCUAACUACGU
rnacentral:rRNA from 1 species